UGGGGAAUCUUGCGCAAUGGGCGAAAGCCUGACGCAGCCAUGCCGCGUGGAUGAUGAAGGUCUUAGGAUUGUAAAAUCCUUUCACCGGUGAAGUAAUGACUGUAGCCGGAGAAGAAGCCCCGGCUAACUUCGUGCCAGCAGCCGCGGUAAUACGAAGGGGGGCUAGCGUUGGCUCGGAAUUACUGGGCGUAAAGGGAGCGUAGGCGGACAUUUAAGUCAGGGGUGAAAUCCCGAGGCUCAACCUCGGAACUGCCUUUGAUACUGGGUGUCUUGAGUGUGAGAGAGGUAUGUGGAACUCCGAGUGUAGAGGUGAAAUUCGUAGAUAUUCGGAAGAACACCAGUGGCGAAGGCGACAUACUGGCUCAUUACUGACGCUGAGGCUCGAAAGCGUGGGGAGCAAACAGGAUUAGAUACCCUGGUAGUCCACGCCGUAAAACNAUGGAUUGCUAGUUGUCGGGAAGCUUGCUUUUCGGUGACGCAGCUAACGCAUUAAGCAAUCCGCCUGGGGAGUACGGUCGC
rnacentral:rRNA from 1 species